rnacentral:rRNA from 1 species
GCUUGCUACCUGACCUAGCGGCGGACGGGUGAGUAAUGCUUAGGAAUCUGCCUAUUAGUGGGGGACAACAUUCCGAAAGGAAUGCUAAUACCGCAUACGCCCUACGGGGGAAAGCAGGGGAUCUUCGGACCUUGCGCUAAUAGAUGAGCCUAAGUCAGAUUAGCUAGUUGGUGGGGUAAAGGCCUACCAAGGCGACGAUCUGUAGCGGGUCUGAGAGGAUGAUCCGCCACACUGGGACUGAGACACGGCCCAGACUCCUACGGGAGGCAGCAGUGGGGAAUAUUGGACAAUGGGCGAAAGCCUGAUCCAGCCAUGCCGCGUGUGUGAAGAAGGCCUUUUGGUUGUAAAGCACUUUAAGCGAGGAGGAGGCUACUUGGAUUAAUACUCUAGGAUAGUGGACGUUACUCGCAGAAUAAGCACCGGCUAACUCUGUGCCAGCAGCCGCGGUAAUACAGAGGGUGCGAGCGUUAAUCGGAUUUACUGGGCGUAAAGCGUGCGUAGGCGGCUUUUUAAGUCGGAUGUGAAAUCCCUGAGCUUAACUUAGGAAUUGCAUUCGAUACUGGGAAGCUAGAGUAUGGGAGAGGAUGGUAGAAUUCCAGGUGUAGCGGUGAAAUGCGUAGAGAUCUGGAGGAAUACCGAUGGCGAAGGCAGCCAUCUGGCCUAAUACUGACGCUGAGGUACGAAAGCAUGGGGAGCAAACAGGAUUAGAUACCCUGGUAGUCCAUGCCGUAAACGAUGUCUACUAGCCGUUGGGGCCUUUGAGGCUUUAGUGGCGCAGCUAACGCGAUAAGUAGACCGCCUGGGGAGUACGGUCGCAAGACUAAAACUCAAAUGAAUUGACGGGGGCCCGCACAAGCGGUGGAGCAUGUGGUUUAAUUCGAUGCAACGCGAAGAACCUUACCUGGUCUUGACAUAGUAAGAACUUUCCAGAGAUGGAUUGGUGCCUUCGGGAACUUACAUACAGGUGCUGCAUGGCUGUCGUCAGCUCGUGUCGUGAGAUGUUGGGUUAAGUCCCGCAACGAGCGCAACCCUUUUCCUUAUUUGCCAGCGGGUUAAGCCGGGAACUUUAAGGAUACUGCCAGUGACAAACUGGAGGAAGGCGGGGACGACGUCAAGUCAUCAUGGCCCUUACGACCAGGGCUACACACGUGCUACAAUGGUCGGUACAAAGGGUUGCUACCUAGCGAUAGGAUGCUAAUCUCAAAAAGCCGAUCGUAGUCCGGAUUGGAGUCUGCAACUCGACUCCAUGAAGUCG